UACGAAGGGGGCUAGCGUUGCUCGGAAUUACUGGGCGUAAAGCGCACGUAGGCGGCUUUCUAAGUCGGAGGUGAAAUCCUGGAGCUCAACUCCAGAACUGCCUUCGAUACUGGAGAGCUUGAGUCCGGGAGAGGUGAGUGGAACUGCGAGUGUAGAGGUGAAAUUCGUAGAUAUUCGCAAGAACACCAGUGGCGAAGGCGGCCAACUGGUCCGGUACUGACGCUGAGGUGCGAAAGCGUGGGGAGCAAACAGG
rnacentral:rRNA from 1 species